AUUGAACGCUGGCGGCAGGCCUAACACAUGCAAGUCGAACGGUAGCACAGAGAGCUUGCUCUCGGGUGACGAGUGGCGGACGGGUGAGUAAUGUCUGGGAAACUGCCCGAUGGAGGGGGAUAACUACUGGAAACGGUAGCUAAUACCGCAUAAUGUCGCAAGACCGAAGAGGGGGACCUUCGGGCCUCUUGCCAUCGGAUGUGCCCAGAUGGGAUUAGCUAGUUGGUGAGGUAAUGGCUCACCAAGGCGACGAUCCCUAGCUGGUCUGAGAGGAUGACCAGCCACACUGGAACUGAGACACGGUCCAGACUCCUACGGGAGGCAGCAGUGGGGAAUAUUGCACAAUGGGCGCAAGCCUGAUGCAGCCAUGCCGCGUGUAUGAAGAAGGCCUUCGGGUUGUAAAGUACUUUCAGCGGGGAGGAAGGCAAUGCGGUUAAUAACCGUGUUGAUUGACGUUACCCGCAGAAGAAGCACCGGCUAACUCCGUG
rnacentral:rRNA from 1 species